rnacentral:rRNA from 1 species
GACGGAGGGGGCAAGCGUUGUUCGGAAUUAUUGGGCGUAAAGGGCUCGUAGGCGGACCUGUAAGUUUGACGUGAAAUCUCCGCCGCUCACCGGGGAGGGGCCGUUGAAUACUGCAGGUCUGGAGUUCGGCAGAGGACCAUGGAAUUCCAGGUGUAGCGGUGGAAUGCGUAGAUAUCUGGAAGAACACCGGUGGCGAAGGCGGCAUCCUGGACCAAUUCUGACACUGAGGAGCGAAAGCCAGGGGAGCAAACGGG